rnacentral:rRNA from 1 species
UACAGAGGGGGCAAGCGUUGUUCGGAAUUACUGGGCGUAAAGGGCGCGUAGGCGGCCUUCUAAGUCGAACGUGAAAUCCCCGGGCUCAACCCGGGAACUGCGUCCGAUACUGGAAGGCUUGAAUCCGGGAGAGGGAUGCGGAAUUCCAGGUGUAGCGGUGAAAUGCGUAGAUAUCUGGAGGAACACCGGUGGCGAAGGCGGCAUCCUGGACCGGUACUGACGCUGAGGCGCGAAAGCGUGGGGAGCAAACGGG